rnacentral:rRNA from 1 species
AGAGUUUGAUCCUGGCUCAGAGCGAACGCUGGGGCAGGCCUAACACAUGCAAGUCGAACGCCGUAGCAAUACGGAGUGGCAGACGGGAUAGUAACACGUGGGAACGCGCCCUACGGUUCGGAAUAACUCAGGGAAACUUGAGCUAAUACCGGAUACGCCCUUACGGGGAAAGAUUUAUUGCCGAAGGAACGGCCCGCGUCGGAUUAGCUAGUUGGUGAGGUAAUGGCUCACCAAGGCGACGAUCCGUAGCUGGUCUGAGAGGAUGACCAGCAUCACUGGGACUGAGACACGGCCCAGACUCCUACGGGAGGCAGCAGUGGGGAAUAUUGGACAAUGGGCGCAAGCCUGAUCCAGCAAUACCGCGUGUGUGAAGAAGGCCUGAGGGUUGUAAAGCACUUUUAAUAGGGAGGAAUACCUGACGGCGAAUACCCGUCAGACUGACAUUACCUAUAGAAAAAGCACCGGCUAACUCCGUGCCAGCAGCCGCGGUAAA